rnacentral:pre_miRNA from 16 species
UACGCGAUUCGCGAGUUGGGCGCACGGCGUUUAGUCCUUUCAACACGUGAAAUGGUAAUGACUAGAACCGUCGCUCAUCCCGCGUCUAUGCGGC